UUUUUAGAUGUUGAUUAUUUUACUAUUUCUUUAUUGUUUACCAUAGUUUACAUUAUACUUCAAAUUAUUAAAUUGUCAUGUAAAUCAGGACUGUUAGCACUUUGCAGACACUUUAUUUCUCUAAUAUCUUUUUACAUAUUGUUAUUGUUGUCAUUUAAAUCUACUUAUAUUUAAACACCAUGCAACAUCAUCGUUAUCGUCACAACAGUUAAUAUCCAAUUAUAUUUAUCCAAGUAUUUUUUUCUUUUUUCUUGAUCCUUAUUCUUUCCUUUGUUUACCUCUAUCUUAGAUCGUUUUUCUUUUUCCUAAAGAUCCUAUUUGAGGUCUUUUGUAUCUGUCUAAAAAUAUCUUCAUUUCAACUUAUUUUUUUUGAAGCACAUUAUUUUUGGUUUGUUAUAGUAAAAUAAUUGUUAGGAGUUUUUUUAUUGCUCUGUAAAGCAUUUUUACAAUUGACAUUGGGCUUUCUUCUCUCUCUCCUCUCUCUGUCUCUCUCUGUGUGUGUGUAUGUGUGUGUUUGAAUUUGCUAUUAGUAUUAUAGAUAGCACUUUAUAAGCAGUGCUCCUUUUUUCUUUGGUUGAUUUUUAAAGAUUUUGUAUUUGUUUUUGACAAUCAAGAUUUUUACAUAAUUUGUCUAAAUUUUUUGGGUUUUUUUUUUGCUCUGUUUUAUUUUGCCCCAUAUUUAUAUCACUUUUUGAAUCUGUGGCAUGUUUUAAGUCAGUUUUGGAAAACAUGCAUAUCUCUUCAAGUUUUCUGUUCUCCUUCCUAUUUCUUCUCCUCCUUCAAAAAUGAGGGUACUUUAAUUUUUUUUUAACUUUAUCUCAUGUUCUCUUUGGUGGUUUCUUGUAUUUUCUGUUUGGAUUAUUUACAUAACAGCUUUGUGAAGUUUACAAGUUGCCAAAUAACUUGAAAGAAAUAUCAGUACAGGUUGGCUGUUUGAGCUUGACUUAGGUUCUUCAGAGUGGUUAUGACAAUCCAGAAGCUUGAGAAUCAUUGUCAUACAUAUUUUGAAUUUCUAAUUUAAACAUCAGACGGGUUUUAAUAUGAAGCCUUUUGCCUAUCAGCAGUUUAUCAACAAUGAAAAGUGAAAGACAUUAGCAGAUGUUUUGAAUUAAUUAAUGAUG
rnacentral:lncRNA from 10 species